CACGUAGGGUGCGAGCGUUGUCCGGAAUUUAUUGGGCGUAAAGAGCUCGUAGGCGGUGUGUCGCGUCGGCCGUGAAAACCUGCAGCUUAACUGUGGGCUUGCGGUCGAUACGGGCAUCACUGGAGUUCGGCAGGGGAGACUGGAAUUCCUGGUGUAGCGGUGAAAUGCGCAGAUAAUCAGGAGGAACACCGGUGGCGAAGGCGG
rnacentral:rRNA from 1 species